CAAAAAAACUAGGUGCGCCCUAUGGGCCGGUGCGCACUGGCCCACUGACCCUGGUCUGCUCUCAGUCAGCUCCCACCUUCCAGCCUUCCUAUUUAUAAUCAGCCUGGGAGUGUAUGUGUUUAUCAGUUUCCUACUCCGUAGUCUCAAGUGUUGCCCCUUGAAGAAUUUAGCAAGGAGGAUGGUAGGGCAGGUUUUUUUUCGGCCAGAACUUGCCAGAACUCUCAGGUGGGCACAAUUGCGAUUAUAAGAGAACAAGGAAGGUGUUCACGGUGAGUUACAGCACCUCUUUUUCUAGAAAAAUAGCACUAGAGGGUGGGAACCAAAAACUAAUGAGUCGGCUCUGCCUGUUAUUGGCUCUAACUUUACCUCCUGUUGACGUCCCUGCCUUCUGCCCUACCAUUCCCAUUGGGCACUAGCCACCACUAUUUGAGAGUAUGAAAGAAACAAAGCAGGAAAGGGAUAUAAGGAGCCAGCUCUCCAAGCUAGGCCUAUGAAUGAAGUCACUUUCUUGUUCUGACCUGGCUGAAGCCUUUGCCACCAUGUACGAAAAAUGUCACUUGUGAAGCAACCUGAGGGUACCAAUACUUCUGCCUUAUAAAUAAAUAAAUAGGUAGUUGUUUGUAAAAUUCCAUGGGCAGAGUAGGAGGAUAAGAAGCACCUGCUUAUAAUCCCUAUUCUUCCCAUUCCCUUCCCCACGUCAAUCUAUUUCUCUGUAUUCCUAUCAUGCAACCUCCUUCCCAUUAUGUGCCACUUGCAUUUCCGCUUUUUUGGGUAAUGUGUGUCAACAGGAAAAAGAGAGGGUAUAAAAUUUUCAUAUGCCAAUUUAUAUGUAUAGAUACGAAUUUAGAAUUAAUUACUGUGAUCUGAGUAAAAAAUACAGUCAUCUUCUGUGGAUGACUGUGGUCACAUUGUGGUUGUGGGCUUACAACAACAUAACUUAGGUGCCUGCUCACUCUGCUGUCCAGGUGUCAACGGCUGCUGGACAACUGAAUAAUAAUAAUAAUAAUUUUAUUAUUUGUACCCCACCCACCUGACUGGGUGGCUUCCAGCAUAUACAGUAACAUCAUAAAACAUCAAACAUUAAAAACUUCCCUAUACAGUGGUACCUUGGGUUACAUAUGCUUCAGGUUAUAUACGCUUCAGGUUACAGACUCCACGAACCCAGAAAUAGUACCUCGGGUUAAGAACAGAAAUCGUGCUCCGAGGCGCAGCAGCAGUGGGAGGUCCCAUUAGCUAAAGUGGUGCUUCAGGUUAAGAACAGUUUCAGGUUAAGUACGGACCUCCAGAACGAAUUAAGUACUUAACACGAGGUACCACUGUACAGGGCUGCCUUCAGAUGUCUUCUAAAGAUUGUAUAAUCACUAACUUUGAUAGCUACUUGUGCUCCUUUGACCAGACAGCCCUUCAAACAGAAAACUCCUUCAAAUAAAGCAAGGGAUGGGAAACGCAGGCCAAGGGGCUGAAGGUGGCCUUCCAACAGCAACAAAAUCUGUUUCUUGCCUGAAGAGAUUUUGUUGAAAUUUCUGAUUUGCGAGAGGUUAGAAUAUAGCCUAUUGUACAAAGAGAAGAGUUGCAUUAAUCACUCUACACACUUUGUACACCUGGCCUUGCCUACAAGCAACAUCCAGUGGCUCUUGAAAAUGUUUCCCAGACCCUGAAAUAGAAAACAGCCCUUCAACAGCCCUUGAAAUAUAGGGGUGCUGUUUGUAAAGCAAGACACAUGUCCACCCUGUGCCUCUAGAGUCCUGUAAUGCCACCUGCUUUUCAUUUUUUCUCCUCAUUGCUACAAGGGAGGGAAGGCUCGGGUUGUGUGGCUAGGCCCAGAAAAAGACAGAAGUGAAGAGCUUUCCAGUAUGGGCUUCCCAAAACGGCUGAAAUUGCUUCAAGACCCUUUCAGACAACCUCACUCACCAACCCCCUCACCUUCAGCCAUACAGCUAUAACUAGGCCGGAGUGGCGGUGGGAAGGGAGAAGCUCUGAUCGGUGGUGCUCAUUUUAAACCCGCUAAUUAAGGCAGGGCUGCAUCAUUUUUAUUUGCCUUAGGCCUUGGGGUGCCGGCUUCAUUGUGACAUUAUGCUCCAGCAUUCACAGCCACCUUUCUAGCUUUAUAGAUUUCAGGAAAGAAAAGAAAGGCACAGCAACAAUUGACAAUGCACUGUGGAAGCCUUUAGGAAAACGAGGGUUUAAGGCAUACUCUAGUAAACCAAGUAGGGUUGGGAGCUGUUAGAUAUUUUACCUGCCCACUGUACCCUCAGGUUCAGUAUCAGGUAUUGUAGCCUUUCUAGGCCCUUUAACCAUGGGUAGGAAAAAUGUUGCACCCAAGCUGGGACGAAAGGAGCCAAACAACACCAAGGGGUUAAAUCCAGAGAAAGAGUUUUUAUUCUGCCAACCUGGGUGGGCAGAGGAGCAAGUGUGAUAAGUCACAAAACAAGCAUGAAGUUCACAGUCAUGUGCACAAGCAUAUAUACCCCUUUCUAGUUCCCUCCCCCUUCUUCAAGAGUCCUGUCCAUGAGUUCCUCUGAGCAUGAACAGAAAGCUCCUGUCAUGGGACCAUUUUUUGGACCCUUCCCAGAAAGGGGGUGAGAGGGUUUCAGUGUGUUCCAGUUGUUUCAUUCUUGUGCUUUGGCAUGGUUCCCGGACAGAAAGCAAGUUGCAAUGUGGUUCUUUAGCAAGGCCAAAGGCUCUGAGAAAGGCCUGAGAAGACAAUGGGCUCUGUUCUCUACCUUGUUGCAAUCUUUUUUAGUUACAGCGUUUUCGUUACAGAAAAGGACUCCUUAGCUAAUGCUUUCUGUCUUAGAGGAAAAUGCAGUUUUAAAAUGCUUAAGGCGAGGCCUGGCUGGGGGGGAAUUCACAAACAGUUUUUAGGGGUUUUUUUGGGGGGAACCCUAACUGUACCCCUUCAGUAUUUGCUUGAAUAAUGGCUGCAAGCCUCACCAUGUCUACUCAGAAGUAAGUCCCAUUGACUUCAGUGGUGCUUACUCACAGGUAUGUGGGGUUAGGAUUUCUACCUCAAUCAAAUAUGGUGACUGGGGGCAGCGGGGGGAGGGGAGGUUAUAUUUAUUUCUGUUCAUCACACAAGCUGACCUGUAAAGUCUUUCCCCUGAUCUGCCAUGCUGCACUCUCUGAGCUACACCUGAUUCUUAGCAGAGAUUCUUAGCAGGGAUUUUUUUAUUUUUUUAAAAAUAACAUCUCAGCUUGUCCUGCAACCUGACGCAGGAUGACUUUACACAGAGCACCCAUAACUCUCUCCCUUCCUUAUUUUGGCACACUAAGAGCAGUUAUAGAUGCUACCGCCCUAUACAGCCAGGCACAUGCCUGGUUACUGCUGGGUAAGGUUGACAAGUCAGGGUGAUAAUACCCAAAAGGGAGGUUGUGCAGGACGUGUGCACAUCCAAAGCUGGCACACGUUCCCUACACUCCUUCAUUUCUAGAAUAUUCUUGCACCGGACUAACAUUUUUAAUAAGAAAUUGGUGAUUUCAAGUGAGUAAACUGAAAAACUCCUAAAAGAAAAGUACUUUUUUGAGAAGGGUACAGAAAGUAAGAUGCAUGCCGGUAGGCCAGUCACGCCGAACACCAGAUUCAGGAUGACCAUAUUUAACCUGAACUACACUUGUACAUUACAGUCAUAUCAAGCAGCAUAAGAAGUAAAUGGCAGGAUGGGAGUAUUUUUGUUCUUGAAAGGAAAGAGAAGGCCUACCUAUGAGAUGGUGCAUUAAACAGCAACAGAGGUAGCUUGGGGAGACAGCAAAGGGCUAAGUAACACAAACAAGCAAAAGGGAAGGCCACUUACGUUUCGAGUGGGAUCUUUGUCUGGGACCUGGUGAAGGGCAGGAGGCAGGCGAGUGAGAGAAAAAGCCACAGGAGGCCACCUGGCAGCAUUCUCCACACCAAAACUAUCAGCAGCAAGAUCAAUUGCAUAGACCGAGGGGAUCCUUGACCUUGUUUCCUUCCCUUAGGAUGGUCCUCCUGGCAUCAGGUAGGCAGUCCCCAGCAUGGUGUUCUGCUGGGGUAAGGGUGGGAGAGCGAAAAACGGGGAACACCUAAGCCUUCAUCCUAUCGUAUUUGUGUUGUGACAUCGCUUCUCUUCCCCACCCCUCUCCAAACAGGCUACAGCUCCCUGAAGGGACUGGCACCUGAAUCUGCUGGGUUCAAGUCAGAUGGGGCGACUCAGAGAGAUCCACCACCCCAUGGCUGCGAAGGGCAAUAGUGGACAUCCAACUUCUGUGCCCUGCAGGAAUGGCAGACUGAGGGGAACUCUGGAAACAGCAGAAGCAGCAGUAUCUACGUAAUCCACUGCCAGCCCUUUAAUCCCCUCGUAGAGCAGCAACAGCAGCAGAUUUAGGGAACUGGAGUGGGAUAAAAUCAGCUAGGAUUACUCUGAUUUCCGAAGACAGGCAUCAGUCUGUCCAAUCAGAGCUUGGAACAGCCAACUCCAAGCCCACAGCAUCACGACUUCAAAAAUAAAAAAGCCUCCUGCCCUUUGAUCCCCACGGAGCAUUUUUCAUGAUAUCAUAGAGGGCAUCAGCAUAUUUGUCUACCAUAUUUCCUGCUCUGCCCUCCAAAUCAAAUUUAGUUCUUUGUUUCUGGC